ensembl:lncRNA
GACAAAUCCUGCUUGUGUACGCCCAGAGAAUAAUAAUGUGCACACAAUCCACCGACAAGGUGUCACACAAACAAGGCAACCAACAUCCGUGAGACAGAUCUCGUUAUGCAUUCUCUUUCCCCUCAAUUUUAAAGGACAAAUAUGUUGACACGUCAAUUAGACGCAGUACCGUUUUCAGCCACAACGAGGGGCCAUUGGCCUGGUGGCGCCCUUUCAAGAGAGAUAGACAGAUGUAUCCUGAGACCCUUUGGAAGAGGCCCUGCUCCCAGUUUUUGGAACCGGUGCCUUUUUGUAUUUUAAGUAUCUCAACCAGCCACAACGCCUCUCCGCCCUUCAUCCGGUCUUCCUAUGUCUCCCGGAGAGUCGUGAGCGGAGGGGCACUGACGGGAAAACAGCUCUCACUGAUUUGAUCCUGGCUUGAAGAUGCGGUGAAACGGAGUCGUGUCGCAGGCACAGCAGGGAAUCUCCUCAACUCCAGACACAAGCACAAAUUCCAAAGACACACAUGUUAACUACCCUUCAGAUCUUGGCCCAAACUUGAAGAGGAUGAAAUAGAGAACAUAUGUUUAACUACCAAAAGAAAAGGGAGUGAAAGAGGCGGCUGAGUGAUACCAAGGACAGACAGAUAUCAACAACCCCAUCCCCCCAGAGAAUGCCCGUAAACCGCAUUUGGC